UCAAGUUCAUUCACAGCCUCACGCUCUCACCUUCACUCUCUUCUGACUUCUUCCUCCCAUUUUGCCUCAAUUCCAACAUGGCAAUAUCCAGGAGGAGACUUUGUCGACUAAACAAUGUAAUUAAACAUAGUUUUCCAUAAAUCAUAUAUCCAUCUCGAUAUUUAUAUAUGCUAUAUGGAUUUUAUUUUUGGUCUUUAUAGAUUGUACGUUGUAAUAUUUUUGCUGGAACUUCCUUAAUUAGAUACAGACAAAAUUCAAGGUUGGGCCAUUUGGAUCAGAAACUGGAGGGGAAAUUUUUGAUGAUGGUAUUUACUCAACAGUGAGGCAGUUGGUGAUAAAUUAUAGAUCGUCCAAUGUUGAUUCCAUCAGGAUUGAAUAUGAUGACAAUGGGAGCUCAUUUUGGUCGGACCAACAUGGUUCCAGCCUGCUUUCUAGCAAAACAGACACGAUCAAGCUUGAUUAUCCGGACGAAUUUUUGACUUCAGUUCAUGGACAUUAUGAUAAGCUGUGGUACUUGCCGACCAAUGUUUGCUCCCUUACUUUCAAGAGCAACAAGAAGAGUCUUCCACUUAUAUGGAAAUUCGGGCAAUAGGUGCUCACCUAAAGCCUCUUGAUCAUCACGAGAAUGAAAAGUACCUCCAGUCAAAACCUCUCGAGCUUAAAGACUCUUCAGUGGUGGUACAAAAUGUGUCGACGCCUCUACUUCUAGAUGGAUAUCCUUCUCAGACUAUGCUGAUCAAGGAAGAUUACGACAAAGUUAACAAACCGAUAUCAUGCGUAAUUUCCAAUAACCAAGUUCAGGGAAACGAGGGCAACCACUGUGGAACUUACGCUGUUGGAAAUACAUAUA